AAAUAGGAUUUCUUAUUAGAUAAGAGAAGGGUUAAUUCAAAUUAGAUUUGAAUUAGGACUCUUAGUCUAAUGGGUCAUGAAAAAUCAUAUAUAAAUAAGGAGAACCUCUAACUAUCAAAGCAUAAUAAUUAUAUUGUGUGCUAAGGUGAGAAAGAAAGAGAGAGGAGGCAUCACACCACCUUCUCCUUGGUGUGGUGUUUGGGCGUCCACC
rnacentral:lncRNA from 1 species